UAUAUACUUUCUCCGUCCAACAAAAAAUGUCUCGAGUUUGUCAAAAUUUGAAUGUAUCUAGACAUGACUUAAUCUAUAGAUGCAUUCAAAUUUGGUUAAAAUUGUUACAUCUUUUGUUAGAAAGAGUGAGUACUAC
rnacentral:pre_miRNA from 1 species